AAUUUUUUCCCAUUGAAUAUAAUAGAAAAUUUAUAUAUAUAUAUAUAUAUAUAUAUAUAUAUAUAUAUAUAUAUAUAUAUAUAUAUAUAUAUAUAUAUAUAUAUAUGUAUUUAUUUAUUUAUUUUUAAUUAAUGCUGUAUUUUAUUUUAAAGUACAGCCAAGGCCUAUAGAAAACAAUUUUUGAAAUUAGAUUGGUGCCAUCUGGUGGACAAAUUAAGCAUUUUUAUCAUGCAAUAGCACAUUUUUACCACUAUAGAGAAUUUACAGCUCUCUGUAGAAAGGCUUGUGAAUUCUAGUGAUUUUUGCACAUAUUUGCCUAUUUAUUUCAGGUUGUGGAUUUUAAUAUGUAAUCACAGAUUCUCAAAGACUAUUUUUGUCAAGUUAUUAUUUUUUUUGUUUGGUUGGUUUAAAUGGUAAUUUCAAAUGCCAGUUUUACUUUAUAAUACAGUCAAACCUGAACAUUGCAUUAGAAAGAGAACAAAUGGAAAGCAUUUUGUUACCCAUUGUUUUAAUUCUAACUUAAUAAAAAAAAAAAAUGAUUUCAAUCAUAACAUAUUUUUAUUAACCUUUUAUUAGAGAGAGACAUAGUAUGUGACUUUUGAAUUUUGGACCCAAUGUCUCCCCUUUAUUUUAUUCAUUGAUUUUAUUUCACAUAUUCUCAUAUGUCUCUGUUACAGGCUCACCAGUCUAGCAUUCCCUUGUGUGUGUGUGUUAUCAGAUGCUUUGAUUGGCUUCUUGAUUUUAUAAACAGGUGCUGCAGUGUGUUCAAGAGAGAGACAUGGUGUGUCUAUUUUGCAACCUUGAUGGCUUACAGCCUCAUGCUUUCAUUGCUGUGCACUUUAUUUCUUACAUUGAUUAAUAAUUGCUUUUAUUUCAGACAUUUCCCAAAAUUAGCUUUUGCAAUGACACACUUUCAUUUGUGUGUGCGUGUGUUUUUGUGUGUUUAAGUGUGUGUGUGUGAAUUUUUUUGUCUGUUUUGCACUCUUGACGUUUUAGAGAUUCACCCCUUCACUGUUGUGUGCUUUUUUUUGCAUCGUGGCUGAUUUGUAGAUUGUACACACAAAAAAACUCCGUAUUUUCAUAUUUUUGCCAAUUUCCCAUUCAUUUCCUAUGGCGGGUCAUAUUUGACCCGAAGACCCUGAGUGUGACUAUUUUUUUACGACCACUUAGACUUUUCAAAUCCUGUCCCCAAUUUUUUGGGGUGUUCAUAUACCAAGUACCAAUAAAGUCACCAAGUUUCGGACCAUUCCGAUGAAGCUACGAUUUUUAACAUUUAAAAAAAAAAAUGUGGGUCAUAAAUGACCGAAGAACCCCAGAGGGUUAAAGCCAACUCAAACUUGGUUAUUGGUUAGUGAUUCACAAAGGUUCACUGAUAUUGACGCACAAAUGUGCUGAUUUGUCCAGAAAUCUGGAAAAAGUUCAGAUGUGACAGUAAUUGUAGGUUUUGUAGUGGUUAUAGUAUUUUAAUAAUUCAAUUAUAAUAAUUAUAUUAAUUCUAAUUAAUGAAGUGAAUUUAACAUUCUGUCACGAUCCUGACUUUUUCCCUUCUCCAUCUCUUUAUCACUCACUCACUCCACUAUUACGCACACACCUUUCCCUCUGAUUUAUUAAUUUCCUUCAGCUGCUCCUCAUUUAUUCUAAUCUUCGCACUUAGUGCUUUUACACCUGUUCCCCUUUUUCUCUAGAUUAGCUCUCCUUCUUCUUUUCUCCUCCUUCCCUUUUCUUUGCCAAUUUAUUCCACAAAUCUCAUGAAUGCCAGAUGUCUUUCUCUCCAUGCAAUAUCGUGUCCUAGUCCUGUCUGGUUGGGGAUUGGUGCUUAGCUGGUUGUCUUUUCUGUAUUUAUCAUUUUGUCUGUCCUGUGCCCAGUUUGCCGGUCUGUGUCCGAGAGUGUACUAAGAGUACCGAAGUUUGCCGAUGCUCGUCCACGGAUUCAUUUAUUUGCAACUGUGCUACUUAUCCCACGGGCGGACGUAUUGUAUUGAACGACAAGUGAAUGUUUUAGUUCCAGUUUUUUCCCUACAUGAAGAUUUUAGUUUUUUAUUGAACUCUCUGACGAACUCCUGUGUUUUCAUUAAAGACAUUGUUUGCUCUGCAAUUGGUUUCUGGUCGUCUUACCUCGUAACACAUUACCAGGUUUGAAAAAUACGUUUUCAUUUGUAAGACAAAAAGUCAACACAUUAAAAUAAUUUCAAAUUUUACUUGUAAUGCUUUUGUUUAGCGCUAUAUAAAUAUAAGGAAUUAUUGUUUAGAUGUUUAAAUAUGUUAUGUUAUAAACCAAUUUAAACACAAUAUUUA
ensembl:lncRNA